AGAUGCCAGUGCUAUGCUUCCUGUACAGCCUGUAGAACCAUGAGCCAAAAUAAAUUCCUUUUCUUCAUAAAUUAUCCUGCCUCAAGUCUUUACAGAAAUGAAAGAAUGGACUAACAUAGCAACUUUGUAAGCACUUAAAAUGAGGGAAAAGGAAAGUCUAAGACUCAGUUCAAUCUAUUGGAUGAUACCAUCAUUUAUAUAUUUAAAGAGGAGCAACUUCUUGAUCAGAAAUCAAUUUGACCUACUGUUACGGGAGCUUAGUUACUGAUUAUAUGUGACCAUCAGAGAAGAAAACUUGUAAGAAAUGGAGGAACUUUCAAAUAAAGCUCUUAUAAGCCUUUUCAACAAAGAUUUCUCUGGAACAGGUUUAAGUGCAGCAGGGCUCAAAGGAUGGCACCCACAUGUCAGGGGCCUGUGCUCCUUUCCUUCUGCACUGGGACCUGUUCUACUUUGGCAUCCCGGCCAAAGCAUGUACUGAAGCUGCACAUAAUCAUCUCUGCUCACACACCAUUGGCUGAAGUUAGUUAAAUGGUCACAUAUAGCUGGACGUGGUGGCUCACGCCUGUAAUGCCAGCAUUUUGGGAGGCCGAGGCGGGUGGAUCACCUGAGGUCCGGAGUUUGAGAUCAGCCUGACCAAGAACUAAAUUUCAUAAACUCUACAGUCAGGCUUCAUCUCUAAUGGUACUUCUGAAGGGUAUACACUGAUGCAUCCUGGUGACACUGAGGAGACGUUGAUUAAUGAUAAUGUCAGAGGAAAGACGAUUGUAUUAAAAUUAUUAAACAUUAUUGAAAUAAAGUCCAAAGGAUGAUCUUGCCUCCCUCUUCCCUGAAACACAAAAAUAUUGAAAUUAGGCCAAUUAAUAACUCUACAAUGGCCUCUAAGUGUUAAAAUGAAAGGAAGUGUAAAAUGUUUCUCACUUUAAAUCAAAAGCUAGAAAUGAUUAAGCUUAGUGAGGAAGGCAAGUUGAAAGCUGAGACAGGCCAAAAGCUGACUCCUGCACCAGGGAGCCAAGUUGUGCAAGCAAAGGGAAAGUUCUCGAAGGAAAUUAAAAGUGCUGCUCCAGUGAACACAUGAGUGAUAAGAAAGCAAAAGUGAUCUGGAUAGAAGAUCAAACCAGCCACGACAUGCCCUUAAGUCAAAGCCUAAUCCAGAGCAAGGCUUUAACUCUCUUCAAGUUUGUGAAGGCUGAGAGAGGUAAGGAAACUGCAGAAGGAAAGUUAAAUGCUAGAAGAGUUGGUUCAUGAGGUUUAAGGAAAGAAGCCAUCUCCACAAAUAAACGUACAAUGUGAAGCAGCAAAUGCUGAUGCAGAAGCUGUGGCAAGUUUUCCGUAAGAUCUAACUCAGGUCAUUGAUAAUGGUGGCUACAUUAAACAACAUAUUUUCAGUGUGGAUGAAACAGAGUUCUGUUGGAAGAAGGCACCAUCCAGGACUUCCAUAGCUACAGAGAAAAGUCAAUGUCUGGCUUCAAAGCUUCAAAGGACAGGGUGACUGUCUUGUCAGAGACUAAUGCAGCUGCUGACUUGAAGUCGAAGCCAGAGCUUACUGAACAUUCUGAAAACUUAAGGAUCCUUAGGAACUGUGCUAAAUCUACUCUGCCUAUGCCCAACAAAGCCCAUAUGGUGGCAUGUCUGUUUACAAUAUCAUUUACUGAAUAUUUGAAGCCUACUACUGAGAACUACUGCUCAGGAAAAAAGAUACUUUUCAAAAUAUUACUGCUCUUUGACAAUGGACCUGGUCACCCAAGAGUGCUGAUGGAGAUGUUCAAGGAGAUUAACGCUGUGUUCAUGCCUGCUAACACAACCUCCAUUCUGUACUCCAUGGAUCACAGAGUAAUUUUGACUUUUGCGUCUUAUUAUUUAAGAAAUAAAUUUUAUAAGGCUAUAGCUGCCACACAUAGUUAUUCCUGUGAUGGACCUGGGCAAAGUAAAUCGAAAACCUAGAAAAGAUUCGCCAUUCUAGAUGUCACUAAGAACAUUUGUGAUUCACGGCAGGAGGUUAAAUGAUCAACAUUAAUAGAAGUUUGAAAGAAAUUUAUUCCAGCCCUCACGGAUGACUUGGAUGGGUUCAAGACUUUGGUAGAGGAAUUAACUGCAGGUAUAGCCUGAAGAUGUGACUGAAUUGCUUCAGUCUCAUGACAAAACUUGAAUAGAUCAGGAGUUAAUUCUUAUGGAUUAGCAAAAAAGUGGUUUUGGGAGAUGGAAUCUACUCCCGGUGAAAAUGCUGUGAACACUGUGGAAAUGACAGCAAAGGAUUUAGAAUAUUACGUACACUUAGUUGAUAAAGCAGCAGUAGGAUUUAGAAGGACUGACUCCAAUUUUGAAAGAAGUUCUACCCUGGGUCAAAUGCUACCAAAGAGCUUUGCACGCUGUCGAGAAAUCUUUCAUGAAAGGAGGAGUCAACUGAUGUAGCAGACUUCAUUGUUGCCUUUUUUUUUUUUGAGGCGUAGUCUCGCUCUG